UACAGAGGCCUCGAGCGUUAGGCGGAAUCACUGGGCUUAAAGCGUGUGUAGGCGGGCUUCUAAGUACCUUGUGAAAUCCCACGGCUCAACCGUGGAACUGCUCGGUAUACUGGUUGUCUUGAGCCAUCUAGGGGCGAGCGGAACAAGUGGUGGAGCGGUGAAAUGCGUAGAUAUCACUUGGAACGCCAACGGUGAAAACAGCUCGCUGGGGAUGUGCUGACGCUGAGACACGAAAGCCAGGGGAGCGAACGGG
rnacentral:rRNA from 1 species